rnacentral:lncRNA from 1 species
AGAAACUGACGUACCAGAGGAGAACUCCUGAUACACCCAACCACAGUGCGUGGUAGAAGUAUUACUCCAUAGUGGAAGGUGCGGCCUUUGAGAGGUGAUGAGGUGUUGACGGUGGAGGCCUCACGAAUGGGAUCAGUGCUCUUGUAGAAGACAUCCCAGAAAGCUGCCUAGCCCCCAGUCCACCGUGCAAGGAGACGAGAAUUCUGCAGCCCCGAAGAGAGCGUUCAUCGGACGAUGCUGGCACCUUGAUCUCGGCUGUCCAGGCUCCAGAACUGUCGGCCAAGGAUGAUGAUUACAACAUGGGAGUAUCUUCGCAGUUUUCCUAUUCUCAGAAGUUUUCCACAUUUAGUGUCUCAAGAGCCCAUUUAAAAUAGGUAUAUUAUGGGCUUAUUUUCUGGAUGUACCUAAUCUACACCACCUGUUCAGGUUGUUAUCAACUUUCCCUGACUUUUUCCUUACAAAUGGACCUUGGAGUCAAUAUUUAAACACAUUAUAUCUAGCCUCUCAAUGCGUUAAUUUGGUAAGUAGAAUUUUAUUUCUUAAAUUCCAGUAAAUCUUCA